CCUACGGGAGGCAGCAGUAGGGAAUCUUCCGCAAUGGACGAAAGUCUGACGGAGCAACGCCGCGUGAGUGAUGAAGGCUUUCGGGUCGUAAAACUCUGUUGUUAGGGAAGAACAAGUACAAGAGUAACUGCUUGUACCUUGACGGUACCUAACCAGAAAGCCACGGCUAACUACGUGCCAGCAGCCGCGGUAAUACGUAGGUGGCAAGCGUUAUCCGGAAUUAUUGGGCGUAAAGCGCGCGCAGGCGGUUUCUUAAGUCUGAUGUGAAAGCCCCCGGCUCAACCGGGGAGGGUCAUUGGAAACUGGGGAACUUGAGUGCAGAAGAGGAGAGCGGAAUUCCACGUGUAGCGGUGAAAUGCGUAGAGAUGUGGAGGAACACCAGUGGCGAAGGCGGCUCUCUGGUCUGUAACUGACGCUGAGGCGCGAAAGCGUGGGGAGCGAACAGGAUUAGAUACCCUGGUAGUCCACGCCGUAAACGAUGAGUGCUAAGUGUUAGAGGGUUUCCGCCCUUUAGUGCUGCAGCAAACGCAUUAAGCACUCCGCCUGGGGAGUACGGCCGCAAGGCUGAAACUCAAAGGAAUUGACGG
rnacentral:rRNA from 1 species